AGCAACGCUACCAAUAAAUCAGUGCAAUUUGUAGUCAACAUGUAUGCUUAAAGAACAAUUCUAAUCAUUCAAGAUUUCAAAAACUAAAUGUAUAUUUGCUGACUAAAUGUCUUACUAAAAGCACUGAAAAAUGAUGACAACAAAGUAAUGCUACCAAUAAAUCAGUGCUUGCAAUUUUCAGUCAACAUGUAUGCUUAAAUAACAAUACUAAUCUGUACGUCAGGACGUCAAAGAUUAAAUGAAAAAGGUGGCUCAAUAUAUGACUGAAAGCACUGAACAAUUAUGAUACCAGACCUAACAGCAACGCUACCAAUAAACCAGUGCAAUGUGCAGUCAACAUGUAUGUUGAAUUAACAAUAUUGACCGGUUCUAUUUAGAAUUUCGUGUUCUA